rnacentral:rRNA from 1 species
GACGAACGCUGGCGGCGUGCUUAACACAUGCAAGUCGAACGGAAAGGCCCUGCUUUUGUGGGGUGCUCGAGUGGCGAACGGGUGAGUAACACGUGAGUAACCUGCCCUUGACUUUGGGAUAACUUCAGGAAACUGGGGCUAAUACCGGAUAGGAGCUCCUGCUGCAUGGUGGGGGUUGGAAAGUUUCGGCGGUUGGGGAUGGACUCGCGGCUUAUCAGCUUGUUGGUGGGGUAGUGGCUUACCAAGGCUUUGACGGGUAGCCGGCCUGAGAGGGUGACCGGCCACAUUGGGACUGAGAUACGGCGCAGAAUCCUACGGGAGGCAGCAGUGGGGAAUAUUGCACAAUGGGCGGAAGCCUGAUGCAGCAACGCCGCGUGCGGGAUGACGGCCUUCGGGUUGUAAACCGCUUUCGCCUGUGACGAAGAGUGAGUGACGGUAAUGGGUAAAGAAGCACCGGCUAACUACGUG